UUUUUGUCUUUGCACAGGGCAAUGAAAUGGCAGAUGAUCUGGUAACAGUGACAAGAACAAAAUCCCACAUACAACUUAAAAAAAAAAUGAAGAGGCCCUGGAACUGGAUUCAACAGAUUGAGAGGUGACAAGUAACAUUCCAGAUGGCAGAGUCUCCUUCAGCCUGAGCCUCUCAUGACCAGAUGCAAGCAGAGCCCUAGGCUGGAUGCCCAGGCUGUCUCCCGUGGUGGUGUAUCGUGGCUAUCACUGUGCAUCAGCAGAGCACUGGGACUCUAGUUGAUUGGGUGAUAUUUCACUUGGAGAUAUCUUCUAGGGUGGUGCCUUUGGUUGAGAACUUCCUUCAGCCUCAUGGUUUCAUCACUGAGGAAACUGAGACCCUGCUGGUUAAUGACAGACCCAGUCUUUGACUUUCUGACCCUCAGGCCCAGCUUCAGUGUAAGUGUCAUAAGCGUAAGAAUUUUUGUCCAUUUUGCUCACUGUUAAACCCCCAGGGCUUAGUACAGCUUUUGGCACAUAGGAGACACUCAAUUAUUUGUUGAAUGAAUAAAUGAAUGAAUGAGUAGAUGGGUGACAUCCAUUCUAAGAUGCCAUCUCCAAGAUCCACCAGCAACAAAGUGAUUGACUAUUGAUGAUUUCAAAGGCCCUAAACAUAAUCGGCUUUCAGGUGGCUACAAAAAGAAUGUCCAUUACCAGAGAUGAAGGAGCCACAGAGUAAAUGGGAUUCUUCAAGGCAGUGCCACAUUGUCACAGAAACUUGACUUCCAAAUUAAAUGCAGUACCUCCACUGAUUUAAGAUGUACAGUAUUUCCAUUAGAAUAAUAAUAUCACCACUGAGAUUUUGAAUUUAUGUGCAUAUUUAUGGAGGGAGCUGUCUAUUGAUGGAUCAUAAUGAUGACGUCUCUGCUACAAAAGAGUCCAAGCCUGGCGCCACAAAAUGGCCCGCAUUAUUGGAAUUACGCCACGGGUGCAGCACCCAACAUGCUGUUGCCUCUUAGGAAUUGCUAAUUCCAUAAAUUGCUCUUUAAAGGGUGUUUUCUUUAUUCAUUUCCCCAAUUAAAAACAUAUCUAAAGAUUGUUCCAUGCUUUUAACUUCACGCAAGAAUAUUUUUGUGCCCUUUGAGAGGAUAUUUAAUACCUUUAUACAAAGUAUACAGAGCUAGCUAAAGGAAACAGCAUUUACUCUGGAAAAAGUUUUGGAAUGUGCCAGGUUUGUUCUACAUUAUGUUGGUAUUAAAUCUUAGCAACACAUCAGUAUAUGGAAUCUCACCUUGCCAGGUGAGCUAGGUUGAAUGUUUUCAUAUGACAAUGAUUUUCAGUUCGGAUUUAAUGUCUGGGUGAGGCAUGUGAGGCCUAGAAAAGCAAAGAGGCAUUGGCCAUCUAGAGAGAUUUGGUUGUAGUGGUAGAUAUUUGAGUUUCAGUGACCAAGACAUCAGGGACAGCAGGUUGCCCUUUCUUUAUUGUGAGAUCUGGAAGCUGCUUUUUGUUGUAUUAUACUUUAAAGUAACUUAAAGUAUCCUCAAACCCAAAUUGGGUUUUAUUUAUUAAACACUGGAUCUUAUUCUCACUUUUCAGUCUGAGAAACAGAGCUAGAGAACUGUUGGGAAAAAAAAAUGUAUAUAUAUACAUAUAUAUAUAUAUGUAAUAUUAGCCAGGAUGGUUUAGGUUAUUUUGUGGGGAAAAAACUCCGUCAAAUUUUCCCAGUUCACCCUUUUGAACAACAAAAGUUCAUUUCUCAUUCAAGUCGUAAGUCCCACACAGGUGGGCUGCAGCUUCUCUUCCAUACAGAACUUACAGACCCACCAUCUGGCACAUGCAUCUUCAAUAGCUGAGGUAGAGGAAGGGACACUUGGAGGUCCAUGCCUGUCUCUUUUGCUCAGAAGUGACUGCACCACAUUUCCCACAACCUACUGGCACCAGUAAUUACACAGUCCCUUCAGUAUGAUAAGGGGGUGGAACAAUAUCUUCUUCCCAUGUGCGAGAAAGAAGAGAACCAGACUUGAGUGAGCACCUGCUAUCUCUACUAUCUGCUAGGUAAUAAAACCUAGCUGCCACUUUCUGUCAGGACAAUUCCCUGAGCUAAAUGAAUUUCACAACCCAUAUAUCCAGGCUCCCAUAUUGUGUAGACUAUCAGAAAUAAAAAUAUGUGACUAGGACAUAUUUGAAAUUUAUCUUUCCUCCUAUAAAUCAUUUAAGUCCAAAUGGUAUGUUAAAAAGAGGUGUAAUCCAAUCCUUUAUGGACUAAGGUGGGAGGAACAUCCUGCCCAGUGUACACGUAUAACUACACAUAUACAAGGCAGUGGGUUCACAAAGACUCUAAAUCUGCAGCAAAAAGCAUUACCUUAUGCUUUUAUUGUAACAAUUGGGUCCUUCACAUUGCUGCACUCAUUGGAAAGUGGAGGCAUAUUCCUUAAAUAUCUAAUUUACCUUAUAGCUUAGCCUGAUAAAAUAUAUUUUAUCAGACCCUCUAAAAAUUUCCUUAUUUGCAAAUUUUUCCAGUGUUCUUCUGCCUAUGUCCAGUUGAAUAGAGGGAGGGAUGUGGGAUUUACUUACCUCUCAACAUUCAGGGGGAGAGGUUUGGUGCCUCAGGCAGCUCUUUGGGCAUGGUGGGCCUGUAGUUUAUUGAUGUCUGUCUGAGAUUGUGUCUUGUCUUCACAGACCAUUGGGUGUCCUGUUCAUUGGCCUCUGCUCUUGGAAUCUGUAGCACCCAUGGACUUCUCUUUGGCUCCUGAUAGUGAGCCAUGCCUGACUUUGUCUCCCCCAGGCUCACUUUUAUCCCCUCUGACCUCUGGCAGGAUAGCUGCCCUGGGGGGUCCACCACACAGUCCAUACUGGUGUAACUUCACCGGCUACCAUGACCUCCUUUAUAAAACACUGUAGCCACUUCUGGGGCUGGUGCAUACUGCCCAGGUCUGGGAAAGAUAAAUGUCAAAUCCUCCCAUUUUGUUACCGUGCUUAGGUUGCAGAUUUACUUUGAUGUGGUUAUAUUCCAGAUGAGUGAUGAUACCCUACAAGUGGCCUACUGUCAGAAGACUAAUGAGACUAUUGGGGUGCAGGAGGACCAUCAAAAGAAGAGCUUUUUUCCACCUUUAGUGGUACCCUCAAUUCCCUCCCCACCCUGGUCAACCUGUGAAGACUCGGGCAGAAUCUGCUUAUCUGACUCUCCUUAGUCGGAUUCGUCAACACUGAGCCACGACAUGAACUCCAAAGAAAAUGAUAUUUUAUAUAGCAUGCAGAGAGUAUAUGGAAGACUCCAAAGUUGAGAACAUGAGCAACUUUGAGAAGGGUUUAAACUUAUGGAUGAUACCAGAGACCUAUCUCCCCUAAACUUUGGAGGGUGAGGUCAUACAGGGCCUGGGCCACAAGCCAUCAUCAGAGACCAAACACUGGAUUCACGGAUCACUGGUGUAACCCAGACGACAUCUCUUAUAAUUUUAUGCUGUCCAGAGGGCUGAACUGCUGACAUCAAAUCUUUAUCUCAAAGAUGCAAAUGUAAACCUAAUGUUCUUUUUCAAACAGUAGCUAGUUAUAGCACUAGAGAUGUUUAAGCCCGAGGCUUUACAAACACUUUUAUAAUAUCAUUAGCCUGAAGAUUGCCCCUGUCUCUAUUUCAUAACACCAAUGUUUGCAAAUCUGGGCAUUUGCAAUUCUUUCUAUUUCUUUCCAUGUCAUGGGAGCUCGAGCAUCUGCUUUCAGAGAAUAAACAUUGCUUUCUGCCCUUGAACCCAUGGAGGAUGACAGAGGAGAGGAAAGCUGAACUUCUUGUAUGCCCUUGGCCUCAGUCACCACCAUCCUGCUCUGGUUUCCUUUGGGCUCUGGCUCUGUUGGCCAAACAUUUUCAUGGCUGGUUUAAAGAGGAUGUGCCUAAUUUAGAGCCACUGACACAGGCCAGGGAACAGGCCACCUGGCAAAUGCCUUGGGCUUUGACUAAUUCCACUAACUUACAGCCCAGGCCAAGUUCCCCUCAAGUUGUCCUGAGGUUUGUAAACCUUUUGGCAAUGCUGGGCUAGCACUGGACCAGGUCAUCAGUGUUUCAUGGUCCUCAGCUAGGUGUGAAAUUUUAAUCAAAGGGAUUUGAUUUUUGCAAAAAUAUAACGCACCACCAGAAAUGUCACAUAGAAUUAAACUUUGGAUUCACUGAGGUUCACUAUGAAUCAGAGGGUUUCAUACACAGUGGCCCAUCCUGUCCUCUUUGGUAGGGAUUGGGGGGGCAUGUUAAAAAUAAAUGGAAUCAGGGUAGUUCUGGUCUCUUUUAUCUUAUGGGGAAAUGUUACAAUAAUUUUUAGUCCAUCCACACUUUGGAACUGAAUAAUUACUUUCCACUUUAAUUACAAGAUGGCACAGAAAAUACAUAAGCCUCAGCCCAAAAAUACACUCUCUGCAUCCGGUAGAUAUUAUAGAAAUGAUUUGCUGUUAUAUGCAAUAUGGUCUCCAGACAGGCUCUACGCUCCCAGAAUCAUCUAGGAUGGUUUCAACAAUCCUUAUAUCUGAUAAGUAAACACUGGACAAAGAAGGCAUUGGAACAUCAGCCUAAAAAAUGAGAAUGGGCUCUCACCCAGUAAGACAAAGCCAGAGCCCGGUCCUCUAUAAAGGGAAUUUAAGGCUUCAGAAGGAAGUGGGGCUGAUGGCUAAUGUGGAGAAUGGGUGAGAAAGAUCCCUCUGUGGCUUAGAAUACCAAACUCACCAGAGCUUAACCAGACAGAUUCCGGAGCGACAGAAUCCUUUGAGUAUUGUCCCCUGCCCCAAACCCAGACCAAGUCACUAUAUGUUGCCAGUUACAGAAGUGAUUCACCUGAGCACUGAGGGAAUUCAUUUCUUAUCACUUCUCCUUGACCUGGAGCAGGUCACUGGAUCUCCAUAGGCUUCAGGCGUCCUCUUUCCUCUCUGGUUGGGGCGGGAAGUGGUGGGUAGCAUUGGGCAUGGAACCUAGUGUGGCUUCUAGAAUCAGACUGGUUUAGAACUUGGCUGUGUGACAUUGGGAAAGUUGCUUCUCCCUCGUGUGCCUCAGUUUUGUCAUCUAUAAAAUGGGGUAAAUAGUAGAAUCCACCUUGAAGAGGUGCUGCGAAGAUUCAAUGAAGUGCUGACAAUGUAGCUUUUCACACAGUAACCCUUCAAGAUAUAAGACAAGUGAUGAUGAUGCCUCAGUAAAAAGAGCCAUGCCCUGUGUCCUCAUGUGUGUUUAUGUGUGUGCCUGUGUAUAUAAACAGAAAGAGGUGUUCAUGUGUAGGUAUAUGCAUAUGUGUGUGUGUGUGUGCUCGAGUGUGUAAACAGAAAGAGGUGUGUGACUGAAGGGCUUUAACAAAGGAGCAUAGGCCCUAGGUGGCAUGAAGCUGUGAUAGAAACAUGUAACUCCACAGAAUAGAGGUUUCCCUCAUCCUUUGGACCUAGAGUAAGUGAUGCUAGGCUGGUGAUGGUAAUGAGAUCCCAGGUCACCAAGGCCCUUUUAUUCAGUGGCUGCUAGUCUCCAGGUGUCAGAGGGGAGGCUUUACAGAAAUCACUACAGAUUAUCUAUCUGGGGCAAGGGUGACUCAGUACAAAACCAAAAUGAUUGGACUCCUUGGGUGACUUUGCAAGGAUUUUAGCUUCUUCUUUCAGGCAAAGAGAGUGAUCAGGACAUGGGCCAAUGGGGUCUGUAAAUAUCCCUGGAGAUCUCAGAGAUGCAAGGUGGAAUAGACUGAAUGUGGAAGGAAUUUUCUCAUUAUAGGUACACUGAGACUCAAAAGACUUGGAAGGUGAGUAGCAAGUAAACAUAACCUCAGUACUUCAAGGUGCCAAGGCUGGAUCUCCUGUUUAUACUUCUUCCUUGAGGGGUGUGGGGGCUGGCUCUAAACGUGGCCAUUCCUCUGUCUUCCUCUCAGCCCUGCUAGGAAGGCUGUUAUACAUGACAGUGUUACAGCCCACUGGUUAUCUGAUACCUGGGUACUCGUGACUGACUCAUCUGUUUUCUUUUCCCAUAUUUGUUCUCUACCAUUGAUAUGAACCCUUCCAUAAGGAAAGAAGAUACAGAAAAAGAAGAACACAUUCCCUAUGUUAUUUGGAAUUUGCUCUGAACCAACCUUCAGGGAUAAGACAGAAUUAUGGACUAUACUUAGGUUUGGAAAUUUUGGUUGACUAUGUUUAUCUCUUUUAUCAGCCCAAACAAAUCACUAGACUCCAAUUAUUAUAUUUUUAAAUAAUAAUAAUGUUUAAAAAACUGCAAUUCUUUUAAAACAUCUCUAGAUGAAUCAUAUUGUACUUUUCUCAGAGCUAAAAUGCAGUAAUAAGGGAUUCUUAGUAUCUUUCCUACACAUAGAAUAUGAAGCAUAACAAUUUCUUUUCUUUUCUUUUUUUUUUUAAUGGCUGCACCUGUGGCAUAUGGAAAUUCCUGGGCCAGAGGCUGAAUCAGAUCUGCUGCUGCAGCCUACACCAUACCUACAACAAUGUUGGAUCCUUAAACCAGUGAGGCAGGCCAGGGAUUGAACCCACAUCCUCAGAGAGACAACAUC
rnacentral:lncRNA from 1 species